UAGAUGUUAAAAGCAAGAGACAUGGGAGAUCAUCAUUCCCUUGAGAUUUUAUAACUCAAACCAACUUUGGAGUUGUCUGAUUUGGAGAGUCAUUAUUCUUGGUCUGCGCUCUUAGAGGCCACUGAUGAAGAGCAGGCGGUGACUGGGAUGAAUCCUGGUCAGGGAGGAGAAUCUUCUUUCCCCUAAACAGCACUGGUUUUAAAGGAGGACGCUGCCCUGGAUGAUGUAGAAGAUGUCACAUGCUGUGCUGAUGGGGCUUCUUCAUGAUUACAUCAGUUAUGCUAAAGAGAUCAUGAAAAUUGACCGUGAUGCAUGA